rnacentral:rRNA from 1 species
UACAGGGGGGGCAAGCGUUGUUCGGAAUUACUGGGCGUAAAGGGCCAGUAGGCGGCCAACUAAGUCCGACGUGAAAUCCCCAAGCUUAACUUGGGAACUGCGUCGGAUACUGGAUGGCUUGAAUUCGGGAGAGGGAUGCAGAAUUCCAGGUGUAGCGGUGAAAUGCGUAGAUAUCUGGAGGAAUACCGGUGGCGAAGGCGGCAUCCUGGACCGAGAUUGACGCUGAGGAGCGAAAGCUAGGGGAGCAAACGGG